AUUGAACGCUGGCGGCAUGCCUAACACAUGCAAGUCGAGCGAGCGGCGGACGGGUGAGUAAUGUCUGGGAAACUCCCUGAUGGAGGGGGAUAACUACUGGAAACGGUAGCUCAUACCGCAUACCAUCAGAUGUGCCCAGAUGGGAUUGGCUGGUAGGUGGGGUAACGGCUCACCUGGGCGACGAUCCCUAGCUGGUCUGAGAGGAUGACCCGCCACACUGGAACUGAGACACGGUCCAGACUCCUACGGGAGGGAGCAGUGGGGAAUAUUGCACAAUGGGCGCAAGCAUGAUGCAGUCAGGCCGCGUGUGUGAAGAAGGCCUUCGGGUUGUAAAGCACUUUCAGCGGGGAGGCGUUACCCGCAGAAGAAGCACCGGCUAACUCCGUGCCAGCAGCCGCGGUAAUAC
rnacentral:rRNA from 1 species